UACGAAGGGGGGCUAGCGUUGUUCGGAAUUACUGGGCGUAAAGCGCACGUAGGCGGAUACUUAAGUCAGGGGUGAAAUCCCGGGGCUCAACCCCCGGAACUGCCUUUGAUACUGGGUAUCUCGAGUCCGGAAGAGGUGAGUGGAAUUCCGAGUGUAGAGGUGAAAUUCGUAGAUAUUCGGAGGAACACCAGUGGCGAAGGCGGGCCU
rnacentral:rRNA from 1 species